UGGUAGUUAUUUGUGCUAUUGAUUGGUUGCCGAAUGUCAAGAAGGCGGGUUUUAGUUAAUACGAGCCUGUCAGGGCUAAAGACGAAGGGGGAAAAGAGAUAAAGAGCGAAAGAAGGAGGAAGGAAAGAAAGCACAAGAAAGUCGGCGUGCUGCAGAGUAGUGAAACGCCGAGCUGUGAGCCGUCAGUGUGCAGUUGGUGACGUAAGAGGAGUGAGGCGACACUGCGGGGGACGAGUCCAACUCACCCUUCAUCCUUCUUAGGAGUCAGCAUCUGAUGGGACUCAGUAUAUGUUGGGGCCUGUUAGGAGCUGGCGUAGCCACACGGCUUAGUGUUAAUGACUUCCCCUAGACCUACCUAAGUCACUUCUCCAGUUCUACAUGUGCUGUGACAGUAAUAUCAUUAUAAAUAUAGGAGAUAUAUUUAGGCCUGGUUUUAAGAGGGGAUCCCUCUUCCUGAUCCAGGUCUGAUUACAUCUUUACCGCUGCUCCUAUGUGUUGAUAGGAGCCAGUUGAGGUAUUUGACGGAAAUAUCUCAAGUGGCUCCGACAUGUGCCGUGCUGGCCUGAGGUUCAGUGGGCUUCAUGCUGAUAGAAGGAGCCAGGGAUAAAAAAAUGAAUGGAGGACCUGCUCUGCCACCUGAGCUGCUGCCACAUCAUGAUCACAUCAUGUGGGGAAAAGAUAAAUGCAGGAUGCGAGAUUCUGACUUGGAAAGAAAGUGACCUACAGCAGUCUGUUAUAUAAAGACACAGGAGAGGUUAAGGUGACUUUACGGGACACAGGUGCAGCUGGCUGUAACUGCCAACUGAGACUCAACGUUCCCACAGUACACCUGGGUUUCCAUGAGGACGAAGAAGAAAUGCCCACUCCCGACCAGAUCAGGACGACUGAGGACAGGACGAGAUGGAGAGCAUGUGGUGUUUCAGUCAACAAAUUUCAGGGACUCUUCCUAAGGUAGCUGACAGUCGAUGUCAACCAGCCAAUCAGGAAGCUCCGGCACCACAGCAGUACACCCUUCUGCACCAAACCUGCCUCCAGACGCCAAACCAGAGCAUCAGCAGCGAGAAGACGACGGCAGCUCCAGUCAGGAGGAUGAAGAGCGUCCUGAUCUCACCUGUGCAGACGAAUCUGUGUCACUCGGCGCGUCCUCUGUGAAGCUCCUCGCACACGCUGAAGAAGCUGUCAGCAUCCGCUCGCCUCCAUGUGCAGAAAUCAAGACGCUCAAGAAAGAGACUGACAGUUGAGACUGAAUGAAAAACAAAACGAAGUUCAACUCAGGGCUGAAAUGUUUAAACUACACUACAAGCGUUACCUCACCUAAUGUUUUAGGUCAUGUAUUUAUCUGAGUGUCUGAUUCAUUAGCAUUCUUAAUUGUAUUUAAUAUAAAGUUUAUUUCCUAAAAGAAAUAAAGUUGUAAGAAAAACAUUUCAAUGAUUUUACAUAUUUAAUGCUAAAGUCUGUCACAGCAGGACAUCUUACAGUCUUAUAAAAUACAUUUUGUGGAAAUUGGGAUUUUUUUCUGAUUUUCAUUGGACUCAAAUGUAUUAAGAGAAGUUUUUACUCU